rnacentral:siRNA from 1 species
UGCGGGUGACUUUAGAGAUA